rnacentral:lncRNA from 1 species
UUUUUUGAAAGUUGAGAAUUUAUUAAACACUUUUAAGGUUGAUCCAACUUAUUAAAAAAUAGUUUGAGAGUUUAAAUCUAUUGUAUGUCACUAAAAUAUGUCAUCCUUAAAACUUUGGCUAUAUUCUAUUAAAACUGUUUUUACCUUAUAUGCUUUGAACCUACAACAAUAUUUUCCAACCAUUUCUAGAACCUGAUUUCUAAAAUUGUUUUCUCCAAAACAGGGCAUUUCAAACUCGAGUUGGCCUCUUGCUCAGCAAGUGUCGCACAAUCGUUUUGUGCCACUAACCAUGCAUGAUGGAAAGUUAAACGAUGGGAUAGCCAAAUAAUCCACCUUCCUUGACCUAGCAAAGAAUAUGAUAUGGCUACAAGGUUAAGUAAUAUUUUUAUGUACAGAUUAAAUUGUAUGAAAUGUGGCUAUGUUAUGUGGAAGCCACUAUUAACUCAUUGUCGAAGUGCAGUGAUUGAGAUUGUAUAUAUCUGUUGGAAAGCACAUUUCCACAGUUGUGCAAACUAUAAAUCCCACCACUUUCAAUUAAAUGUAGUAGAAAAUAGUAUCACUGCAUCAGUCAUUUAUGCAUUUCACAUGGUAUUGUACUUUAGUUAGUGUACAAAAUUAGCUGCCACAGAAUUGAAUAUAUGGGGAGGAAUCAAGAGUAAAUUCUUUUGUUUAGGUUAGUGUUUUGUUGGUUCUGUUUUGGAAUAAACAUAAUCAAUAUACUGUUAAUCACAGUAAUAAGUCUCUUAAAUAGCAGUUAACUGAAUCCAGAGUAAUUGGUUAUCCCAGUCUAUUAUACCUUGAAAUAAUUGUUAUUUGACCUGCUUAGAUCUUCAUCUUCUGAGUAAUUCCUAUAUAGCUACUGUAGAGAAUAAAUGGAAGAAUAAUAAAGAAUUAAAAUAGGAAAAGAAGAAGAUUGUCCAACUAAUAUCAUCUAUUCAGUUUCGUGUUUCUGUCACGAAGAGACAGAAGUGUACAAUAUUGUAAAAGAAUGAGUUUGUUUUCAAAAGUGUUGAAACUCUUCUCUGUCUACGUUCUACUAUACUGUUCUAUACCUUCCUUUGUACCGUCUAUUUCUAAACUCUAUCCUUAUGACUCAUGAGUCAUUUAAACUAUGAAUAAGAUUAACAAAAGUAUCUUCAUUGCAGGGAAUUGUGAUGCCACCCAUUGCAUAAUCAUAUCCAAAUUCUUCUUCAGCUUGACUCAACAAAUCUUGAAACAAAGGAUGGUUCAAGUAAGAUAGCGAGAUGACAAAACGCUUCUUCUGUUCUUCUCCGACAUAGACCGUAAAGCAUCCUUUCGGAACAUCAAGAGACUUUGGAGUGGCUCUAUUUCCUGACGAUGUGGAUCGUCGAAGACUUGGCUUAGCAAGAACAAUGCUAGGCAAACGAAACCCCAUGGUAUAGUAUUUUUCUUUUCAAGGAAUUAGUGGAACUUUAACUUGAAGGAUUGUGAAAGAAGAUUUCUUGUGAUGUGGGAAUGUGGAAGGCUUGCUGUUUGUGAACCCAAUUACAUGAUCCUUUAUAUAAAUGGAGGGUGAGAUUUAUUGGAGAUAGAAAUAUUGACAACGCAAGAAGGUAGCAUUAAAUGCUAGAAAGGAACCAGCUCAAAAACAAUCACAUGGAUUUGUCUUUGAAGCCAUAAUGAGAACUUCAAGUUCAUGAGUUAACGUGGGGCCAUUUUGGAUCCUUGCGUAGAAACAUCAUAGGUGGCCUACUUUUGUUUAUGGACAAUAUUGAGAAGAGAAUUCAAUACAACUAAGCAAGUUCCAGUAGAUUCAUAGACAUAUUUGAGGCACUGAAGUUUUUGUUGUCCUCUUGGUGAGAUAACAAUUGACAGACUAUAUGUUGACAGAAAAUUUAACUGCAUCAUAUAGCCAUGUCUGUCACAAUUUUUCGUGGUAUAAGAAUUUUAACUAAAGUGGGUUUUUUGUCGGUUGUAAAGCUCGGAAAAUUCAUAUGUACGGGUACCGUAGUACAACAGAAACUUGUAAGUGGAAGAAAAUACUUCAAGUACAAGAUGACAAAGAAAAAGAAACCCAAUUGUUAGUUUAGCAUUCAUUAUGAAGAGAACAUUUCUUUUUCUGAGCAAGAAACGUAAAUAUUCAAUGAUGUAACGAAGAGAAUAAUACUGAUAACAAACGCAAUAACAAUAAGACACUAUAAAUAAUAGGUUAAAAAAAAAAUUCUAAGAAGAAAGAUCUAUGAAAGUACCCCAAUUAAUAUAAAUAUUCUGACGGGAAAAUCUCAUGAUCAACUUGGAUAAAGAACACCAUGAUGAAGCCUUCAAAGGAGCUGAUUUGAAAUGAUCGACCUAAGGAAGAAGCUUGCCAUGGAAAAUUCUUAAUUGAACCAGUAGCUCGAUCUUGGCAACCAAGUUGUCCCACUGCUAUUUAUUGUUUACUAUUUUUUUUUAAUAGAAUCAACAACUUUUGUUAAGAAAGAACGAAAGAAUUCUGGGGGGCUAGUGGCAUUCUUAGGAAGAAAAAAAAUUCCCUCUUGAAUAUUGUACCAACUCAAAGACAUGUUUACCUGUUCCUCAAAGGCAUCUUUCCUUUUGACAUCUUCAUUUGUGUUUUUUAUACCUUUCAAUUCAUCUUAUUCAGUUUCAGUUCACAACAAAUGCAAAUCAUCAUUUAUUGGUUACACUAAUUAUUAUUUUGUUGGGAUCUUUAUGGUGUAAGUCUUGCUUCGUGGCUUCUGUUUUGGCCUUUCUUUUUGUUGGUCAGCUGUUUUGAUUGUUAUUUGUUUCUUUUCCUUUUCUUCCUUUGAGAGGUUAUUUUCUUCAACAUUCUGUAUGUUGUUAAGAAAGAACCACAAUGAUGCAACUGAAAAGAACCCAGUUGUAUUAAACCAGAAACCAAACUUCAUAAUAAAAUGGAGAAAAGAAAACCCCAAUCUUUUUCUUUUCUUUUUUUGAUAUAUGUGAGUGUCCGAGUCAGUCUUCUAAAUAAAAUUGACCCCAAUCUUCACAAUAAAUCUCGAACUUCUAAAUAUUAUGAAUAUACAAUCAUCACUUGGAUUGUACAAAAACAUUUUUUAAAAUAAACAACAAGUAUAGAGUUAAAUAUGACUUAAUCCAAUGCAAUACAUAUUAAAUGGAUGGUGAAUGGCUCAAAUAUUAAGCAGAAGUUAUAACAAAAUAAAAGAGCCUCUACCAAGAAAUCAAAUGAAGAAAAAGAAUACUUGCGCACAUACCUAGACUUCGUUUGAUAACAUUCCCGUUUUUUGUUUCUUGUGUCUUGUAUCUUGUAUUUUGUUUUUCAAAAUCUAAAAACAAUAAUAUGUUUUAUAACUAUUUACGUAUCUUGUUUCUUGAAAAGAAGAAAUAACGAUAAAAACUUGUUUUAUAAUUAUUUCUUUGUUUCUAUUAUCUUUUUUCUUACUUUUCCCCUUGUUUUAUAGUUUAAAUAUAGUUUAGUUAUAUACUAUAAGAAAUAAAUCAACGCAUUAAUAUAAAAUAGGAAACAAAAAAUGCGAUCAAACAUGCCCUUAGAUUCCAGUAAAAUCGUUCCAGUAACAAUUUCCUUAUGUAGGGAAACAUCUUCCCAUGGAAGGAAACAAAAAUUGGAGCAAGUUUCAAAAAGGAAAAACAAAGUGCAUGGAUCUGAUCAUGCCUAAUAUCCCUAAUCUAAAAAAGAUUGUAUGUUACAAUCAUGUCAGUGCCUCUCACGGCCUAUUUAACUGAGAAAUGAGAUUGGUGAAGAUAUCUUCUCUGCACUGAAUGGUAAGACCACCCAUAGGAUGAUAAUAACCAAAUUCCUCUUCAGCUUGACUAAGCAAGAUCUGAAAACAUGGUUGGUUCAAGUAAGUUAUGGGGAUGACAAAACGCUUCUUUUGAAUCUCUCCAACAUAGACUGCACAGUAGCCCUUUGGAACUACUGCCACCCCUUCCUUUGUUGAGGUGGAAGCUCGUCGGAGAAGCUGAAGAAUUCUCAUGUUUAUAUUUGGAUACAAUAAAGGCAAGACCUAAAAAAUUUUACUAGAAGAUCUCAAAACACCUUGAAUGAAAAAAAAAUGAAGAGUUGAGUUGCUUGUGAACUCAAUCAAAUAUGUAUUUAUAGAUGGUGAAAAGAGUUGUGGGAAAUCCAACCUUCUGAGAAAUUGAUGAUAGAAGUCUUUGGAUAAGGCUUAGUAGCAGACAAGAACUCAUGAAGUAUCAUAUGAUUUUGUAUACCAAAUAAUGAACAUUGAAGUAGUGAUGUUGGUAGAGGAUAUUGUGUAAUCUUUUCAAGGCAAAGGAUUUAGAGAUCAUAUUGUCUCUUAAAUGACAAUGACUGAUGAAAAUAUGUUAGUUUAAUAACUUGAUUAUUGUAAACAGCUGGCUUACCGUGGCUUACCAUUGCAUGAUGAUUUUUAUAUACCAUAAGCUUUAGUAGUUUCUCAUAUCAUCCAGACAACAGUUGUGAUAUGCUUUUGUUCGUUGGAUGUAGAAUUUUGGUUUAACUUUGGCUUGGAAUCGCUAAGGUUAUAAUAGUAUUGAGGAGGUGCUCCAAGGUUUGUCAUUUCGAGAGGACAAAUUUUUGUGGCAAGCUAGCUAUUUCGUGGGAAGUUUGGCUCAAGAGAAACAAUAGAAUUUUAAGGGAGGUGGAGAGGUCAUGCAAUAAAGUUUCGGAGGUAGCAAGAUUUAACGCCUCCUUGUGGACACUCGCUAGGCCUUUUUGUAACUAUGAACUUGGUUUGAUUUUGUUAGAUUGGAGUGUAGGCUUGUUUUUUCGUAUGCUCUUUUUCUCUCAAUGAAAACUUGGUUUCUUACCAACAGAUAUUACGACACUCUUUGUUAAUGAAAUCUACUACUGAUUCUUGAAGCAUGAUUCUCUCCAGUGAAAAAGUUUGUGGUUUGUCAUCUUCCAACAUUUGCCCAAGCUGAAAAUAGACUAACGCUCCAAAACACAAAACAAUUGAAAAGAUAAAUAGAAGAGAAAUACAACUGAUGAAGAGUACAAGUCAAAUAAGACAAAAACCCUACUACUAAGAAGCACCAAAAACUUUGAAAGAGAGCCCCAUUUUUUAAGAGAAGAACUAAACUAAAACUAAACAAACCAACAAAUUGAGACAUCAAAUCAAAAAAUUGACAAGAUCUGCCCAGUUGAUGUUGGACCUAUUUGAAAUGACUUUCCAAGUGCUUAAACCACUUUUGUAACACUUAGACUCCAUUUUUUAUGCACAUAGAAAGUCAUUUCAAACAUCUCAUUUUACUAACCUGCUUUCUCCUUCCAUAUAUAUUUUCCUUCAAAGCCCUGACCUGUUCAGUUCCCUUUAUUGCUAAUUGCUCUAUCAGUAAGUCUCAUAACGUUCAUAUAUUUUCGCAGUGUUAGUCUGAGUGAUUUGAAUACUCAUUUUUACUAGUUAGUUAAAGUUUUGUAUUGAUUUUAAUCAGUCAGCUCUCUUGCUUUUGUAAGAAGAAAAAAAAAGAACUUUCUGUUGAAGUUGGCAGUAUUAAAACACCGAUCAUUUUUUUUCAGUAAUUUUUCAAUGGAGGCAAAGUACAAUGAAUCUCAUAUAUGAAAACAGCUCUCAAUCUCCUUGUGAAUACAAAUCAUUUGAAGGAACAUCAUAGGGCAGAUGUAGUGUAAUCAUGUUGUCAAGGAGAAUGGACUACGAAAAGUGGCAAAAUAAGGUACAUAGGUAUCAACUUUAUAAUCAAUAUUUACUUUUAUGUACUAUAUGUAUCCACUUUGGUUAACUCAAGAGGUGGUGAUAGAUUUGUUCAAGUACUAUGGUAUUUUACACCAAUCCUACUACUGGUCAUAAUCCCAUUUACAAAUUUAUCUGCUCCUUUGGAGCGUUAACAAAUAACUCUUACCUCAUUCUUCUUCUACCUGUGAUGAUAUACUAGACGGGCUCUUGGAACUUUCUGAAAUCAUCAUCAAUUGUGGGUCGCUCAUUACGUCCUGCAAUAAACAUUUUCAAUGAUGAUUAACUAUUGGCAACUUUUGAUCUCUGCAACUUUUACGCACAAACAAAUUUGUCCCCAUACUUCCUUUCAUUUUGCUUCAUCCAAGAAUAAUUCUUAUUCAGUCAAAGUUGAUUUCUGUCAGUGUUGUGACUCCUUUUCCAACUAGAGAUAUUCAGUAGCAAGAUUUCAGACAUUAGACAGAGGAUUCUUCUACUUUUUUCUUCCUUUUAUACGACCCUCAAAACACUAAAUAUUAAAUAUUAAAUGUUUUUUUCUUAGAACUUGAUUGUAAUGAGAAAUCCAUUCCAUAAGAGGGUCGACAAAAGAGUGAACAAUAAUUUAUAAAAAGGAUUUAAUGGUAAUAAAUGAGGAGAUUAAGGCCAUUUGACGACGGUUUAGUUUCUUGUUUCUUGUUUUUACUUUCAUUAUUUUUAUUUCAUGAACAGCUCUUCCAUCAUUCUUAACAAAGAAAAAAAAUCAUUUAAUUGGAUAACUGUUUUUUUGUUUCUUGUUCUUUCUUUUUUAUUGAAAAAAAAAACUAUGUUUAAUAACCAUUUUUUAUUUCUUAUUUAUCUAAAAUUUUAAAUUAGAAAUGUAAAUUUUUUACAUAAAAUAAGUUUUUAAAAUUAAAUAAAAAAUAAUAAUGUUAUAUUUAUAAUGCACUUUAAAAGUAAACGUGAUAAACGAAUACGUUUACUUUUGUUUGGAAAAAUUUGGAAACACAACCAAUAAACUAGAACUUGAUUUUGGUCUUUCCAAAAAUUAUACACUAUGUUGGAAAAUGUAUCUAAAAAUAAAAACAAAAAUAGUUACCAAACACUUUUCUAAAAAACGAGAAACAAUAAACCAUAAACGGAAACAUUAUCAAAUACGGAAACAUCAUCAAACAUCUAGUGACUAAAUUGAAGCAACAAUUAAGAGGUCGUUUGGUAACAUUUCUAUUUAUUAUUUUAAGUUUUUGAGAAUCAUAAGCGUCUAAUACCAAUUUCUAGAUUCCACUUUCUUGUUGCUUAUUUAAAUGUUUCCAAAAUAUUUUAAGUUUUUGAGAAACAUAAGCGUCUAAUACCAGUUUCUAGAUUAAUGUUUCUGGUUACUUAUUUAAGAAUGUUUCCAAAAUUGUGUAGAGAUUUUAGAAACAACAAAAUCAAGCCUCUUGUUUCUGGUCCUCAUUUCAAGUUCAAAUAAAAACGUUGUUAUCAUUCUUAGCUUAUAAGAUGCAUGAGAAGUAUCUUCUAGAUAAAUAUAACAUUAAAAAAAAUUGAUUUUAAUUUUUCAGGUUAAUAUUUUAGAGAACCUGGAACAAAAAUGAUUAUAAAAUGUUUAUUUUUAUGUUUUCAAUAACAAAUUAAUAAAUAAACAAGAAACAAAAAAACAAUUACUAAAUGUAAUUCUAUAUUUCUUUAUUGAAAAAAAUAAAACAUAAGAAUGAAACAUGAACAUUACUAAACAAAGUUUAAAUUUCAAAAACCAAAUCAAAACCUAACCCAAUAACUAUUAAAUUUUUAAGGCAUCACUAUUGGAAAUUAUAAUUGACCUCCACCCAUUAGCUUAAGCUUUUGGAUUUAGUUGGUGAAUUAAGAUGAUUUCAAUGUAGGUUGCUACGAGAUGUCCUAAGUUCAAACUCCUUCAUUGUUGUUUCCUCUCCAAUUAAUGUUAACACAAGCGAGGGGAGUGUUAGAUAUUAUAUUAAAUUUGCCUCCACCCACCAGCUUAAGUUUUUGGGUUUAAUUGGUGAAUUAAGAUGAUCUAAGAGUAGAUUGCUACAGGAUGUCUUGUGUUCAAGCUCUUGCAUUAUUGUUUCCUCUCCAAUUAAUGUUAUUUUCCACUUGUUGGAUCUUUUUUCAUAUUUCAAGCACACAAGUGGGUGAAAGUGUUAGAUAUUAUAUUAAAUUUGCCCCCCACCCACCAGCUUAAGCUUUUGGGUUGUGUUGGUGAUUUAAGAAUUACACAGUGUGUUGCAUACUAACCUGCUCCGUUGAGGGAUGGCUAAAACUGCUUAUCGAUCCACUACUAUCCCUUGACUCCAUGUGCUCCAUCAUCUCUUCACCAAAUUCUCUCAAUUUUUCAAGUUCGGGCAACACAACACUGGCAAGAUCUGGUCGGUCCUUUCGCCGAAGUUCUGCACAUUCAAGUGCUAAUUUUGCAAAGCAAAGUGUUUGUUCCACUGGCCAAUCAACCACAGCUGGGUCCAGAAACUCCUGAAAAGUCCCCUUCUCGAUAGAACGAGCAACAUGGUGAGCCAACCCCAUGGCCGGCUUAGCUGUAAUUAGUUGAAGCAACAUGAUUCCUAGUGAAUACACAUCAGAUUUAACCCCAAGCAUUCCAGUUUGUUGAUACUCAGGGUCUAUAUAGCAGAAAGUUCCAGCGGCCGAAGUCACGUAGCAUUGUGUUACAUUUUCAGCCACAGCAGGUAAAAGUCUAGCCAAACCAACGUCACUAAUCUUGGAAACAUAGUUGUGGUCAAGCAAUAUGUUAGCUGGCUUGAGAUCACGGUGCACCAAUGGCUCAGGCUUUGUCUGGUGGAGAAACAGAAGGCCAGUAGCAAUCUCGGCAGCAAUUCGAAACCUCAAUUGCCAAGGAAUAACAGGGGUGUUACCCUUUCGAAAGAGUCGAUCCUCCAAACUUCCAUUGGACAUGUACUCAUAAACUAGAAUGCCAUAUUCAGGGCAUGCUCCUAGAAGAAGUACCAUGUUGGGAUGCCUUAUGCAACUCAGUAUAUCAAUCUGCAUUUACGAUAUCUAACUAAAUCAUAAGCACUAAAAAAAUGAUCCCAAAGUUCUUUCAAGUUUCUCACCUCUUGCUGAAACUGUGUCCUUCCUUGAGUUGCGUCAGGACGCAAAACCUUGACUGCAACUGAUGUGUGAUCAAGACGACAACGAAAGACAGGUCCAUAACCUCCUUCCCCAAUCUUUCGAGAUUGUGCAAAAUGUUCCGUCGCCGAUUCAACCUCCUCAAUUGAAUAUCUCCUGUAUCUGAUGUCGCUUUGUGCAAGAUUUUUCAAUGCUUUCUGCAUUUCCUCUGCCUCUUUAACUGCUUUCAUCUCCAGAUUUGCCCUUUUAUGUGAUUCUAACUCUGCAAUUCUCUUGGCUGCAUCAGCUGCUUCCAUCGCUGCUCUGCAUCUAGCUCUCUCCUGCUCUGCAAUAGCCAUUGCUGCUUCUUGUGCAAGCCGUGCCUCUUCUAGUUUUUGUUCUUCUUCACGUCUCCAAUUAUUUAGUUCCAUUGCCUAUGGGAGAAUUUUUAACAUAACCCCAAGGUUGAAUCUCAAAAAUGGGGAAAUGACUUAUAUAUAUUAUACCUUCUGCUUUGCUGUCAGUGCUUCUUUACAUGCUGUACUGUACAUCUCCAUAGUUUGUUUAAGCUCUAGCUUCAGCCUCCUCAUUUCAAGUUCUACUUCAUCCUGUGAGAUACAUAAAUUUCGACCAAUUUAGUUCAUAUCCUCAAAUCAACAUUAGAUAUGAGCAGAAAAAUUCAGUUACAAGUGCUCUCUCUCUCUCUCAUUAAAGAACGUUUAUAAGAUACAUUUCCCUAGCUUCAAAAUUUUAAUAUUUGUCAUCACUAUGAGCAAGGAGAGCUUUUAUUUAAAAUGUUAGAUAAGAUAUCCAAUUUCAAUUAAUAAUUGAAAAUACCAGAAACUAGCACUAUAUAAUAUGAUCAAUACAGGUAAAGCGUUGUACUUGAAGUCCAAUAUAUUCAUAUUGGUAUUUUGAUCAAUGUAUAUAUUUGUGAGAUCCGUGAAAAUUAUUGCUUGAUGUUAGUGUCUUUGUUCUUUGAUAAGUUUUUCAGUAUUUCCUUUGUGAUGGUGGUGGAAUCGUUAUAAUUCUCUUUUAUUUGUACCUUUUUACUCCUUUAGGAGUUUAUAUCCUUUGAGCAUUAGUUUCUCUUUUCAUUUUCUCAAUGAAAAGUUUUCUCUUGUUCAAUAAAAAAAGCCCAGAACCAUUCAUAAUAUACUGACCAAGUUCUGAGAUGACCAAGAACAUGAUGUCCUGCAGCUCUCAUCUGAAACUGAUGAGAAAUCAUUGAGAUUGCUGAGAUCUGCCCACUUUGGUUUAAAUGGUAGAGAUGUAAAGCUAUGCUCUGAGCUGGUUGAAAAUCGUGGGGGACCUGAAUCAGAGUAGUCAAAUGCAACAGAAGAAGAACGAUCUGUGCUUGGUCUGCCAGAGCUUAUAAAGGAUAUGUCGGAUUCUGACUCAGAGAACCCCCCACUAAAUUUCGAGAUACAAGUUCUCUCUCCUCCGUGAGAGUAAGGUGACCUGAUUCCAAUCACGAUGUGAGCAUCAACUUGGAAGGAAAGUCUAUGCAUAUCUUCACUACCAAAAUUUAACCACAAUCUGUAAUUUAGCACAACUUACUUGAUUGUUUCAUCUUGGAAGCUGCGAGGCUUGAAUGAUGUCCUAUCUGCAAACGAGAAAAAUAAUAUAAGUUCCAUUGCCCCAAACUCCAUAAAAUCAAGACAUGAAUGCGUAAUCAAUUUUGAUAGCAUAAAAAUGUAAGUGAUUCAUCUGCAAUUAGUCCUUAAAUAAAUUGUUUUCUUUUCAACUUCACCCUUAAAAAAAUGGUGCUUUGAUGAAACAUAAAAACACCAAAGGCUGUCUUGAUGGGGAAAAGAAACACAAAUUAUCAUAUAGAAGAAUUCAGAGGACAAAUUUGACAAAUUUGUAGACUUACCACAAUAAAAACUACUUCAUAUACUAUACACAAAAUACUUGGAAUGCAGUCCAGCAUGAAAAACAAACCUCUCAAAUUGAACUUAUGUCGAGGAGUGAUUGAUCCCUUUACGAUCGGCUUAGAUAACUUCUGUAAACGGUCUAGUAGAGGGGAAGUGAAGGGAGCUGAGCGAGAUGCAUUCUUCACUGAUGACACCUUCCCCUUCGAGAUGACAUAUACAGUGCAGAAAUCCGGUGCUCCUUUUGACACGCUACUACCCAUGCUCGAUGACUUAAACCUGUUUCAAACAUCACAAAUUCCCAAUCAUAAGCAUUUGGAAAAAUUGGAGAUGGGAAUUCACAUUCUUCCAUAAUGAUUUGUGGAAUGUAAAAUUCUAAACGCUAUUUUGGAAUGAAUUUUCAAACGCUAAAUAACUGCUUUUCACUUGAAUAGUCAUUUCAAACAGACCCUGAACCAAACAUGAAACGAAAAAAAAUGAUUACCUAAUAAAUCCAUGUCUCGAAGGAGCCCCGAGCACCAAGGUCUCGAUUGCAGCGUACGAUACGUAUUCAGUUAAUGCUUUCACUAUAUCGGUGUCUUCCAAUAUAAUAUCAAGACAUUGAAUCUUCACAAUCAACAAAAGAAAGGAAAACCCAGGUCGUUUCACAUCUCAAAAUCACAAUUCAGAAACAUAACAUAAGAAAAGAAAAGAGAAAAUGCAAUGAUGAACACAAAAGACUUACAUCCUUCCGAGUACAAUAGCAAUGGAAGGUGAGAAAAAUGUCUCUAGUCUGCAUCUCGAGCUGCUGUAUAUGAGGGGAAUCAGAUGUGGAACUGCCAUCAGUAUUACAAAUAAUGGCUUCCCCAAUCAAAGAAGCAGCCGCACUAGAAGGUCUAUGAACCACAUGGAUUAAAAUCACAGUUUGACCCUUUCCAAUCAAAUGCUCAGCGGCCCAUCUAAGAGCAUUUUGGCUUCCUUUUUCCCUGUCUAUACCAAUAGCAACUAACCCAUUUCCUCCUCCGCCUGCUCCAACCUUUUUGACGCUAUUAACACUGUUUCCUUUUUGUAGCCACAUUGUUUGAUAAAAUCCCAGUGACAAAUUUGCUCGUUAUAUGUACAAUGAGGGAUAUUUGCAUGCAUAUUUACAUAUAUACAAAGAAUUUGUGAAGAAAAAAAGAGAAAGAAGUUUGAUACCAUGACUAACUUGGGAUUUGCCUCAAUUUGGAGAGAGGGCUGAAAUUUUCGCGGGAGGGCGCAAAUUUAGGAAUUCUAUGAAUACAAAAGAAUUUGUGGGAGAUUUGAAGAGUUUGUAGUCCCCAUAUCUGUUUGUAGUAAUUUAUUUUCCUACCCCAAAAUGGAAAAGAGAAUCAACUUUUACUAGUUUUGGCGUCCAUUGUUGUGUUUGUAUGCCCAUGGAAAUAGGAUGUUCAGAAAACCCAUAACCCGCUCUACCCGAUCCAACUCGAUUCGAUUUAAUUUUAAUUUUAAUUUUAAUGGGAUUGGGUUCAAAACUUUUUUUAAAUUCAAUUUUUUAUCGGUUAUUAGGGUUCAUAAUUUUUUUUGGAAAUCAAUCACAUGAUGUCUGAAUAACAAAUGAUCUGGGUUGGGUACGACAUCCAAAAUUAUGUAUUAUUGUUAUAAUAUAUCAUUGGUCUAUUUCUCCAUUAUUUUACAUGAUUUUUCUUUAAUUACUGCCAAAUUUAGUCUCUAAUUUAGUAUAUCAUUUUACACAAUUGGCCUAUUUCAAUAAGAAAUUAAGAAAAAAAAAAUCAUAAAUGGACUAUAUACUCAUUUAUAUUACUAAAUUGAAUUUUAAAUAUAUAUAUAUAUGAAAAAAAAUAUGAACCGACAAAGAGGGAAAGAUUCGAUAUAAGUUGGUUACGGUUUUGGAAAGAAAUCAAUAACGCUUCAAAGUUUCCUUCUUCAAUAACAGUAGUCCAUUCUCUUCGCGAAAGCUCGACGGUUGGUUGUGACCGCCAUUUUCUGACAAAUUUUGAGGUUAGUAAUACGGUAUAUUUUGAAUCAUUCAACCGUUAGGGUAUAUUGAGUUAUUUGUGUGUAAUUUUUGUUAUGUGUUGAUUGGUUAGGUUUAUUGGAAACUUUAUGUGUAAUUUCUAUUAUACUUAAUUACAAUUUUUUGUUGCUAGAAUUUUGAAAACAUAGGUAGUUUAUAAGUUUACAUUUUUUAUAUGCUAACGUAUAUGAUAUUAUUGUGUUCAUUGUUCUUAAUGGUUUGUCUCAAAAGGUUAUCAUGUUUUAAUUACAGUAUAUUUGGAAUAAUAAGGUGUACAUUUUAGACAUAAAUGUUUAUGAUGGGUAAUUUUUUGUUUCCUGAGUAUAUGUAAUAUUACGGUAUGUAUUUUUGAACUAAAGAUUUAUGAUAAAUUGUUUAUAGAAACAUGGAUGAUGAGCAUAUGUAAUAUAUGUUGUUAUUAAAAUUGCGUAAAUUUGAUUAUGUUAUAGGAAUGUUAUUUAUGUUAACAGGACAAAGGAAGAUAUAUUCUCUGGUUUUUGUAAUGCACUAAUUGUAUGAGAAAUUGGUUGAAUGGAGAGAACAUAUUCAAUUAUUGUAUUGUUUGCAGUAAUUAUGACCAUACUUGAAAAACAAUUAACUUAUAUAUGUCACUAAGUAUGUUUUAAUGUAUAUAGUGAUGAAAUGAUUUAUGUAUGAUCAAAUAUAUGAGGCAGUAUAUGUGUAACAAAUCACAUAAGAUAUAUAUAUAUAUAUUAUGGAGUAGUAUAUGUAAUGAUUAAAAAAAACUCCAAGUGUUACAUAGUAUGUGUAUGUAGUGAUAUAUAAAUUAAUUAUUAAAAAUGAUAGAAUUAAAAAAAAAUGUGAACAUAUUAUCCAACAUAUGUGAAAUACACGUGUAACAUAACACAAAAAAUUGCUUCAAAAGAUAUAGUACCAUAUGUAUAAAAAAAAUACAAAACGCAUAUCUUAUAAUAUGUGUAUACUGUACAUAACAAGAAGAUGAAUCGAAGAAGAAAUAAUAAAUUUAUCGAGAAAAAAAAACUAUAUGCUCAUAAAAUGGAAAUUAAAUAUUAUAAGAAAUGAAGAAGCUUCCAAAAUCAAAAAGAAGAAAGAACAAGUUUAUUUUUUUAUUGGAAUCGAGAAAAAAAAAAGUAUUCAUGUUUAUGAUUUAAAUUGAAAAUAAUUAUAGAAAGAUAUAUAAUUUAUUAACAUAUUUAAAUCAUAAACAAUUAAUAAAUAUUAUAGUAAUAAAUAUAAAUACAUAUGAUAUAAUAAUUUUAAAAGUUAUUAUUGAUAUAAUAAAUUAGGAAUUUUAAAAUAUUAAAAAAAUUAUUUAAGAUUUACAUAUAUAAUUUUUUAAAAAUAAUUAAAUAAAUGUUAAAAUUAUCCUAAAAUAUUAGGGUUUCUUGUAAAGAUAAUAAUUAAAAAAUUAGAACAUUUUGUAAAAUAUCAUAAAUAAUUUAGAUACUUCCUCUAAUCUUCCAAUCAUUGAAAGGAUUUGUAUAGAAAAAAAAUAGCUAAAGAAAUCAUACAUUGUUUAUGUCUCGCAAAUAUAAAUUUCUCAACUUCACUAUAUACUAAUCACUUCGAAAAUUUGACUAUUUUGAUAUUACUUUCUUUUAAGAAAAAUGUUCUUCUUCUUUGUUUUUCCUCUUUGUUGUUUGAACUUUUUUCUUGUUUCGCUUCCACAUUGCUUUGAAGUAAAGGUUAAAUCGGUUAUUCAAUAUGACUCAAUCGGUAAAUAUAAGAGUUGAGUUGGAUUGCCUUCAUAUAAUCAUUAGACCAAAAUUCAUAAAGUCGUGAAGGACAAACAAAGAUGAAUGCUAGAAUCUCCAAACUUCUAAAUCCAAACAAUGACAAUCUUCACGUAAAGAAGGUGAUGGGACUUCAACGUCAUGUGCGUGAUUGAAAAACUAGUGUUUUUUUUUCUCCCUUCUUUCUUUUUUCAUAAAUUAACAAAUGGUUUUAAUAAAUGUACGUAUUUUCUAAAAUCUAUGAUAUACAAACCUACCGUCUACAAAAAAAAAACAAAAAAAAAAAAUAUAUAUAUAUAUAUAUAUAUAUAUAUAUAAAAAUAAAUAGUAUACAAAACAUGAGAGGAAAAGUUAACUACAAACAUAAUGUAAAAGAAAAAAAAAAAUAGUAUACACUAGUGAGUUUCAUCACCUCCAUUUGAAAAUUUUAUAAUAUAUAUAAAUACCUUAUUUGAAAACAUAUUUCAAAAUCUUAGCUACUUUAUUAAAAAAAAAAAUCUUAUUUAAAAUAAAUCGAUAAUACUAAAAUUUCACCAAAUUAUCUUUAUUGUACUCUGAAUUACAUAAUAUUUAAUACACAAUACACAGUACAUAAUAUUUAAUACACAAUACAUAAUUUAGUAUAAGAGAUUUCAUUAAUCUUACAAAUAAGAUUUUAAUGUAUAUUUUUUUGAAAUCUUAGAAAAAAUGGAUAUUAUGGAUUAAUUAAAUAUACAUGAAGUUUCAAUUAUAAUAUAAUAUAAUUUUAUUAAAUAAAUAUAUAAACGUUUUAUUAGAUAUAAAAUAAGAAAUAUCACGAAUAGAUAUUCCAUUAAUUUAGGAAUGAAUUCGUUAGAUAAAUAAAUCUCAGAUUCAAUUAAGAUCUAACAAAAUAUGCUAGUGUGAAAAACAUAGUGAAAAUUGAAUCGCUUUACAAAUGUAUGGUAUAAUUAGAAUAUGAAAAUCAUAGCAUACCACACGAGUAGGGCAAAGUAGGAAUAAAAUGGGUAGAGAAUUUGCUAAAAAAACAUUAAUUUUGUUUUUAUGCUAUAAUUCCAACCACCCACCCAAAUUUUGUCAUUGGAUCCAAUUCUCCAAAUUUUUAUUUCGUGAAAAACGUCUAAUUUAUCCUCAAAAUUUCAAUUUUGUUUCUAAUCGAGUCCUAAAAUUUCAAUUUACUAAGUUAUAAAUAUUGCAUUUAUUUUAAAAUAAAUACAAUAUGACCUACCAGACUUAAAGUUAAAUUUAUAUAAGAAAUAACAAAUACUUUUAACAUUUUGUAGUGUAUGAUAUUUAAAAAACGUACGACCAUAGAUAACUUAUUAGACAAAAAGUUAAAUAUGUAUACAUGAUAUAAUGAUUAUUAUUUUUAAAAUUUUCGAAUAUAUUGAUCUAUCAAACCUACGAUGAAAAAAAAUUAGAAACUACUCCACACAUUUUAGAGUCAUAUAUAGAAACAACUCAAAAUUGCAUGGGCUAAACUUUUAAUUUCGUAUAUGCAAGUGUCCCCCGCCAUGAAGUCCCUGCUUCGCCACUACAUUACAAAAUUACUUAGACAAGUGCACAAAUUAACUAUCAAUUAGCAUCGUCAAAACUCACGCGUUCCAACAAAAUAAAAUGACUCUAAUAUCACUUUCUCUAACCUUAUCCCAUUUGUAUCAAAUAACUAGGCUUGACAAAAAUUUCCACGAGGUUGGAUCUAUGCAAGUAUCGCUCCAAUCGGGACAAGGAAUCCCCAAUUUGAUCUUUGAUGGAGUCAAAACGAGGAUUUUUUAGGGUCUCCAAUCGUGAACGGGAAUGGUAUCCCCACCCCACCCCAAUUCGACCUUGACCUUGAUUAGAACAGAAACUUAUCAUAGGGUUUAAAGUACAAAAACCUUUUAAAGUUUUAAGUUAUGAUUACAACACGAAUUAUGUCUAAGUUUUAAGUUUAAUUUGACAAAAUUGAAAGUUUACGUUAAAACCAAUAAAAUGACAAGUUUAGAAGUAAGAGUUGAUGUUUUGUGGGGGAAAAAAGAGGAGAAAACUACUUUAAACAACAAUAGGACCCUUAACUCAGAUAGUUAUGUACAUGUUCUUGUUGAUUGAGCAAGAAAUUAAAAUACCUGUCUUCAUUUUUUUCAACAUGGUAGUAUUUUGGUUCCUCCAUUUAAUCAAUCUUUCUUAUUAUUUGUGUAAUCUCAGCAAAAGUAUGGAAACAAAAUGUGUGAUGCCCAAUGCUUGUCCUUGGCUGAAGUCCACACUUCCUGAUCUCCAUUUUCAAAGUAUUUUCUUUAAGAGCUAAAUGGGGCCUUUGUAGAAAGACAAUGCAUUUACAAACAUCAAUUUAUUGAUAAUGGUAGUUGGAACUUGGAAGACAAAGCAUGUUAUACCUCUUUAAGUUCAUGUCCCCUAGUAGGCCCUAUCCAAUAGCUAUGAAAAUAUACCUUCAUGUGAUCAUUUAUUUAUAAAUACAUAUGUGAGAUGGCUUAGACGAAGCAAUCACAAUUCUUCACAUUCCCAUUUGAAAGAAACUUUCUUCUCCUGAAAACUUGUGUUCUUACAAUCUUCUCAUUACUCUAGAAGUACAUCAAUUCUAUUGUACAACAUGGGGAUUCGUCAACUUCUUAAAAGAAACCAAGGAGUUUCAACAAUUCCCAAAGGUUAUUGUGCAGUCUAUGUUGGAGAGAACCAAAAGAAACGGUUUGUGAUCCCAAUUACACACUUGAAUCAGUCAUGCUUUCAAGAGUUGCUUUCUCAAACUGAAGAAAAAUUCGGUUACCAUCAUCCCAUGGGUGGUCUUACUAUUCAUUGUAGAGACGACAUCUUCACCGACCUCAUCUCUCGUUUGUAGUAUAUCAUUAAUCUUGUAGAAUAGGGGCAUUGAAAAUAACCAAAUCAUUGUACAUUUAUUUUUUCAAUUUUCAUCCUUUCUUUUUUGUUUCCUUUGGUGGGGAGUAAAAAGUUUCCCUGCACAAGGGAAUUACUUGUGAUGAAAAUUAAAAUGACUAUAACUUUAUUGGAAAUGGAAGAGUAUCAUUCAUUCCUUAAAAAGAUAUAUCGUCUCUUUAUUUUAUGGUUAUGCUUCUCUUCUCUACAUGUAUGCAAGUCAGUAAUAUGGAUGAAUCUUCAUUUUUUGAAACUUAGCUGUUACUAUAAAGAUAUUAAACCAUUUUCAUUGACUUUCUUUUGGUUGGGUUGGAUCAAUGACAAAAAAAAAAAAAAAAAAAGAAAUGCUGGUGAGAUUUCAUAUCUCAAGUUAGGGUCAGAACUUUUUCGUAAUUUUUGUCUUUACAUGAAAAUGCAGUUGGCUAAACCAUAACCAUACACUUUUUUCAAGCCUAAGACUGAAAGAAAUUUUGCAAAAUAACUCAUAACAACGUUUUAUUUUAAGGCAUGUUUUUUAAUUGAUUAAAAUAAAUUUUUUAUGUUAAAAAACAGUUAGAGACAUAUAUUAUAAACCCAUCAAAAUUAUCAAAAUCACUUUAAAACGUGUAAAACUAAAUAUUAAGUUAGUCGUGAAAUAAUCAAAGUCUUGUUCGUGAUUUUGAAUACGUCAACAAUGGUUUUAACUAUUUCAAACAUACUCUUCCCUGACUUCAAACAUCGAUGUAUUUUACCACAAAUUCAAAGGUCUCUUUUGUUUAGCCAUUUUAGUUGACCGCGAACAGUUUAACUUUGUUCAAGAUAAUAACAUCAGUUUAGUUGCUGUCAUUUUUUAGCAAGUUAUUGAGCAACAUUGAAAAUAUUUGAAUCAUGUUGGUGUGUUAUAGUCAAUUCUAUUCGAGAAAAUGGGGUCCGUUGGCCUCAACUUCUUUGUUGGUGUAGCAGUACUACACUACUAAGCUUAGGCAUAUUUCCAAACAGUGGAAGCUAAUAGUAUUUCUUCCAUUUAAUGAAAAUUUAUCUAUAAACUGUGUUAUACAAGCAAGGUUGAAGAAAAAUGUGGGAUGUCCAAGGCUUGUCCUUGGCUAUAAUUGGCCCACAUUUCUUCUCACCAGUCUUCUGGGUCUUUUUCUUCAGAGCUAAAUGGGGCCUUGCAUUGGUUUCUUCCAUUAAAAAUGCAAGACAAUGUAUUUACUAACUUCACUAGUAAUUAGAAGACAAACCAUGUGAUGAUUCCUAGCUCAUGUCUCCUGCUAGGGGCGUUCAAUAGUUUUGUAAAUGCAUCCUUAUCAUCUAUAUAUACACAUUUGAUAUGGUUUAAACGCAAUCACAGUUCUUCACUUUCUCAUUCAAAAGAAACUUUCGUCCCAUAAAAACGCGUUCGUCAACUUUUGAGUAGUUCUAAGUGUGUUUACUAUAGUGUACAAUAUGAGGUUUCGCCAACUUCUUACAAGAAGCCAAGGAGUUUCAGCAAUUCCCAAGGGUUACUGUGCAGUGUAUGUUGGCGAGAGCCAAAAGAAGCGGUUCGUGAUCCCAAUAACGUGCUUGAAUCAACCAUGUUUUCAAGACUUGCUUCGUAAGACAGACGAAGAAUUUGGUUACCAUCAUCCCAUGGGCGGUCUUACUAUUCAUUGCAGACAUGACUUCUUUACUAAUCUCAUCUCCCAUCUAAAUGUUCUAUGAGAAAUUUAUUGACACUCUAUAGUUUAUUAUCAAUCCAUAGACACUAGAAAUAACCAACAAUAUGUACAUUUUUUUUUCAUUUUCCUCUUUUUUUGUUUCCUUUUUCAGUAGGGAGUUAAAAUGUCUCCCUCACCAAGGAAAUUGCUAAUGAUGAAAGUGAAGAGGUUCAUUCAUUGAAAAAAAAAAAACUUUCUAUUUCGGUUAUCCCUCUCUUUAUAUGUGCAAACUAGUAAUACAGAUGGAUACGAAUCUUACCAUUUUAUAUUGACUCCUCUUGGUUUGGUUGCAAUCAAACAAGCACUAUGAAGAGGUUUCAUAUUUCAAAUUUGGAUCAAAAUUCAAUGUCCAUUUCGUCUUUGCAUAAAGAUAUAAUAUCUUUUGUUCAUUAUCAACCAUGGUUGAGUCUCGAAAAGUGUACGCAGUAUAUCCAUAUAACCAUAUGCUUUUUCUCAAUUCUAAGAUUGGCUAGAAUGACAAUUUUACAGAGUAUACCAUUUACAAAACAUUAAGUUGUCAAAUGUGUAGUCUUCCAUCAAUUUGAAGACUCUCCUUCGCUUAGCUAUCUUAGUCGGUAAACGGUUUAAUUCUAUUAGUCCUUUUCACUUUUACUAAAGCUAUUGAGCAGCAUUAGACAUCUUUGAAUCAUGUUGACCUGUCAAAGCAAAAACUGCUGUAGAAAAUGGUUCCUUAAUUUACUCAAAUUUUGUUAUGUUUUUGUUGGUUGAUGCAGUAAUUCCUCCACUUGAUGAAAUAAUGACCAUAGACUGUGUAAUCUAAAUGAAGUGCAAGCAAAAUAUAUAUGAUGUCCAAGAGUCUCUUGACAUAACUGGCCCACAAUUUCUAAUCUCCAUUACCUAGUCUUUUUCUUAUGAGCUAAGUGGGGUUUUUUUCAUUGAAAUAUACAAGGCAAUGUAUUUAUUAAAUUCACUAGCUGGAUUGUACUAAUUGGAAGACAAAGCAUGUAAGGCCUCAUAAGUUCAUGUCUCCUACUAGGCCCCAUCCAUUAGUUUUGAGAAGACCUCUUUAUCAUCUAUAUAAGUCCACAUUUGAUAUAGUUUAGAAGCAACCACAAGUCUUCACAUUCUAGUUUGAAAGAAAAAAAAUUCUUCUCUCGAAAACGUGUUCUACGAUUUCUCUUUGCUUUAAAUAUAGUAAUUAUACCGUUCAACAUGAGGCUCAUCCAUCUUCUUAAAAGAAGCCAAGGAGUUUCAUCAAUUCCCAAGGGCUAUUGUGCAGUAUAUGUUGGAGAGAGCCAAAAGAAGCGUUUCAUAAUUCCAAUUAGUUACUUGAAUCAACCAUGUUUUCAAGAGUUGCUUAGCCAAACUGAAGAAGAAUUCGGGUACCAUCAUCCAAUGGGAGGUCUUACUAUUCAUUGCAAAGAUGCCAUCUUCACUAAUCUCAUCUCUCGUUUGAAUGAUCUAUGAGAGACGAAUAACAUUUUCAAAAUACAAAAACUCUGAUAGCUAGAAAUAACCAACACUUCAUGUACAUUUUUUUUCUUUCAUUUUCGUCAUUUUUUUGUUUCCUUUAGUGGGGAGUAAAAUAAUGUUUCCCUGGUUAAGGAAAUUACCCAAGGAUGAAAUGAAAUGAAAUAACUUCAGUUCUACAGAAAAUUUAAGAGGUUCAUUCCUUAAAGAAGUAUUUUCUCUAUACCUUAGGUCAUGCUUCUAUUUUUAUUUAUGCAAUCAUGUGGAUGAAUCUCAAUUAGAAAAUAUGCCAAAUUCAUUUAUGUGUUGGUUCCUUUUAGUUUCAAAUUUAAAAUUUGAGUAAAAAAACUUAGUGGCAAGAUAUGAUUGACCCUCCAUAAAGACAUAGCCAUAACCACAUAAACCCUAUGCUUCUUAGUUCUUUGAAUUCUAAGAUUUUCCAUCCUUCCGCCUUGUAACUGUUUUUGUUACCUUCCAGCCAUAAAUGGAAAACUCAAUAUUGAGUUCUCAAACAAAACAAUGUACUCCCAAGUUCUCAUGAAACAAAAUAUUUCCCUACAACAACUUCUCUUUUCGAGUCCUCGUAUAGUUCUUCCUCCUUGAAAUUGAAAUUUACAUUACUGUGAUUUUCAUUGGUAUAAAGUAAAGUCUCAAUUGAUCUUCAUUCACCAGAAACCCAAACAGCUCUGAAGUUUGAAGUUCUUCCAAAAUCUAGUUUAAAGUUCAUGUUAAAAGGGAUAGAAGAAGUUAUCAGUUGUUCCUACAUCUUUUACAAGAAAACUUGUUUCCCUUUCAAGAUUUCUCUACAUAUUAGUCUGUUAAGAAAUCAAUAUAUAAAGAAAACAGAAAAACCUAAAGUAAUUGAAAACCGACAAGAUAUUUGCGUGAUAUAAUAGCGUGUGUUAGCUAAGCUCACAAGGGGAGGAAGAACAAUUUAUUAUUAGAGAGAAUAAUUCAGCGACACCUCUAAAGUUUAGAGAGUUUAAUGCAUUGGUCUAAACAAUAGGGUCGAAAUCCUAAAUAAUAUAAAUAUGUCAAAUAUGAAUUCAACUUAGGUUUUUGGGUUGUUGUCCCCGAACCCCAUCAUUGAAAAGAUUAAGAGAUUUUACUAUCUUUAUAAAAUAUAUGAGGUACUUCUCUCAUUGUCAAUUGAUUGUUAGAUGAAAUUUCUCAUAAACAUAUUAGUCGCUAUAAAUAGUUAAUGAACAACAUUGGAAAUGUUUGAAUCACAUUGACUUGUCAAAGAAAAAUCUACUCUAGAAAAUGGGUCCCUUUUAACUUGAUAUUCAUUUAUGUUUAUGUUGAUUGAGCAACAAGCUUCAUCUCUUCUUUCUAUUCUGCAAGAUGUAGUAUUUCCUCUAUUUAUUGAGAUUAUAUCCAUAAACUGUGUAGUUUUAAUAAAAUGGCAGCAGAAUGUGGAGUGUCCAAGGCUUGUCCUUGGCUACAACUGUCCCACAGUUUCUAAUCACCAUUUUCACAAGUCUUUUCUUUAGAGCUAAUUGGGAUCAUGUAUUUGUUUCUUCACUGAAAGUGAAACUUUUUUCAAUGUCUUUGCCAACAUCACUGACUGGAUUGUAAUAAUUGAAAGACAAAGCAUGUGAUGCUUCAUAAGUUCAUGUCUCUUACUGCUAUGUCCCAUCCAAUAGCUUCUAAGGCGCUCUUUAUAAAGUAUAUAAAUAUAACAUUGGAUAUGGUCUAAACGCAAUCACAAUUCUUUCACAUCCUCAACCAAAAGAAGCUUUCUUCUCUCUAAAACUCGUUCUGUGAUUUUCUUGUUGCUCUAAGUAUACAGAUUAUAUCGUACACUACAAACAUGAGGCUUCAACAUCUUCUUAAAAGAAACCAAGGAGUUUCUGCAGUUCCAAAGGGCUAUUGUGCAGUCUAUGUUGGAGAAAGCCAAAAGAAGCGAUUCGUGAUCCCCAUAACUUACUUGAAUCGACCAUGUUUUCAACAGCUGCUUUGCCAAACUGAAGAAGAAUUUGGUUACUAUCAUCCGAUGGGCGGUCUUACAAUUCAUUGCAGAGACGACAUUUUUACAGAUCUCAUCUCUAAUAUGAAUGAUCUAUGAGAGAUGAACUGAAAUUUAUAGAAAUGUAGUCAAUCUUGUAGAAUAGGAACAUUAGAAUUAACCAAAACCAUGUACAUUUUUUUCAUUUUCCUUCUUUUUUUGUUUCCUCGUGAUGGGAGUAAAAGAAUGUUUCCCUUCAUUAAGGAAAUUACCAGUGAUGGAAAUGAAAUGGCCACAACUUUACUUGAAAUUGAAGAGAUCUCUUACUUCAAAAAGUAUUUUCCUUUAUUCAUGGCUAUGCUUCUUUUCUCUGUUUAUGUAAAUAAAUUAUAUGGAUCACUUUUCUAGAGCCUGAGCAUUCACAGAAAAGAUGGUAACCCAUUUAUAUUGAGUAUUGACUCUUUUUUUUGGCUUGACUGCAUCAAACAAGCACAGUGAGGUUUAUAAUAACAAAAAAACAUGAUCAAUUGAUUUUGUUAGUAUAUAAUAUCUGUUAAUCAUAAUUAAUAAUAGGCCAUGAUUGGCCUUCCAUGAAGAUGCAGCAUGUUCAUAUAAACAAAUGCGUUUUUUCACUUCUGAGAGUAGGUAACAAGACUAUAUUGUUUAUGAUAGUUUGAUUCCUUCAGCCUUGUAACUCUUUUUCUUGCCUUCCAGCUAUAAGUGGUAUACAUAUUAUUGGAUCUCAGGCAAAGCAAAGUGCUCCCAAGAACUCACAAACAAAAAGGAUCUGAUUAUAAUGUACAUAUAUGGUGCUUCACAAUCUUCUUAAAAGAAACCAAGAAGUUUCACUGAAUCCUAAGGGAUUUUCUGCAGUCUAUGUUGGAGAAAUGGUUGGUGAUCCCGAUAACUUGCUUAAAUCAACCAUGUUUUCAAGAAUUUCUGUCGAACUGUAGAAGAACUUAGUUACCAACAUGCUGUGGGUGGUCUUACUAUUCAUUGCAGAUACGACAUUUUCAUCCAUAUCAUCUCCCAUUUGAAUGAUUUGUGAGAGAUGCACUGACAUCUACAAUAUAUACAACCCAUUUGUAGAAUAGAGAUAUUAAAUGUAACCAAAACUAUGUGCAUUCUUUCAUUUACUCAUAUUUUUUUAUUUCCUUCAGAGGGGAGUAAAGGAAUGUUUCCCUACAUUAAGGGAUUGAAUUGGCCAUAUCUUUCCUGAAAGUGGAAAAAGUUUAUUGCUUGAAAAAGUAUUCUCUGUGUCUUAUAUAUGGCUUUACUUCUCUUCUUUACUUACGCAAACAAUCUACUUGGAUGAAUAUUAAUUCUUAGACGAUACAAAAAAGAAGCUACAUCAUUCAUAUCAGCUGUUUUGGUUGCACAAACAACAAUUUUCAAUCUACAAUCGAACUAAUACCUUCACAACUAGUAUUUUAUUUCAAAAAAAUUUAAAACAGUUAUCAUCAAUUCCCUCAUUUCCUUAGAUUUACCUAUUGAGCAAUUCAAGAAGCUGCUAGUAGCAAAAAUGUUUCAGGGUUCUGAUUUAUUUCCAAUUAUGAGCGGAUCAUGAAGAAGAGAACCAAAGUUCAAAUCUGUACAAGAGAACCUGUUUGAUAAAACUGCUCAGAGAUCCUGCUAGAGAGUACAACUUAGUUUCCUUAAGAGCUAGCUUUCCUUAAGAUUCAAAAUAGACAGAAAAGUAAGAUAAUGUUAUUGUCUUUCCUCAAGUUACUUGGAGAAGAUCAUCAUUCAUUUAUGAGAUAUAUUUAUUACAAUUUCUACUUUGAGGUGCUCCAUUCACAUAUGCAAGGGGAAAUCCUGAUUUUUCUUUCUCUAAAACCUUCACUGGUCUAGCACCUCCAUGUUAUAUAGUCUAGGAAUUAUCUGCAUGAAUGCUAUCUCCCUUAUGAUGGGAUUAGGUAGUAGGGUAGAGCUGCAGGCCAUGUACAUAUGACAGAGGCCACUGACUUGUUUAGGUCUGUCUGAACUUGUAACAUUCAUAUUUAUUUCAUUGAACUUCAGCUGGCAGGCAAAGCCACGUGGUUCACUCUUAUCUCUGUCCUUCACUGGGCCCAAUUGGCUGAUUUCCUCUCCACCACUUGUUGCUCAAGAGUUAAGGAGAACCGAAAUAUUUCAUCUUGUGUAUAUAUAGAAGUGGAUCCUAAUGGAGUUCUCACCACAUUUCCAAAUUGUUCUAUCUUCCAUUCAAACAUAACUUGAAACAAGACUUGCAGAAUCAGUAUACAGUUUUCCAUCAUGGGUAUUCGUCUACCUGGUGUUGUUAAUGCCAAACAAAUUCUCCAUAGGAUUCGCAAUUCAGAUUCAAUUCCAAAAGGUCACUUGGCUGUUUAUGUUGGAGAAACACAGAGGAAGCGCUUUGUUGUACCUGUUUCUUACUUAAGUCAUCCUUCUUUUCAGACAUUGUUGAGUCAGGCUGAAGAGGAGUUUGGUUUCCAUCAUCCCAUGGGAGGUCUCACGAUUCCAUGUAGAGAAGAAGCUUUCCUUAACCUCACUCAAAGUUUGAAUGGCUCAUGAUUCUCCACGUGGCUAGAUUUAGUUUAGAAAAUAGACAGAAGAUUAGGGCCAACAAUUUUGUCAUUAGAAAAUUCAUCCUUCAGUUAUUGUAUAGCUCAUUCUUUUGGUUUAAGGAAACUGAAUAAUGAAUUACUCAAUGCACAUACUUUGGUUGGAAGUUCUCCCUUUAUUAGUUGUCCAUACAUUAAGAAAUAUAUAUCAGAAAAAACAGCUAAAUUUGUGCUAAUAAUCAUUGCUUUCUUAUGAUUUUUCCCUCAAAUGCACCUAUUUUGGCCCUGAAGUCCUAUCCUUGAAAGGCCAUGGCUGAUCUUUCUCAAAAUCAUUGCAAAAGUCAAGAUCUUUGAGGAGAUUUUCCUGAGAUUAUGCAAUAUCAAAAGAGAUUAAGGAAAAACUAGGCCACAAUUAGAUAAGGAUUAAGGACGGCAUGAAAAGAAAAAAGGUAUAGCUUUUUCUAAGUGGGACCAUUCUAAGUUAUUCACAAAGAAAUGGUUAGUGUAUUUAUACAAUAACCAAUAAGAAAGAAGUCCUUUUUGAUGUUAUGAUAGACAGAACUAUAUGAUGUGGUAUCUUCAAGGAUUGGACAUGUCAACCACUAUACAGUCAGAAUCAGUUCUAACUUCUUAGAAGACAGAACUAUGAAAUCCCACAAUGGCUAAUCAUAUUCUCUGUAGCUCGGCAGGCACACUGAUCACAUUAACCGAGCCACUUCUCAGUUCUUCUUCACUUGUUUGUUCAUCUUGAUAUAUGACAAGAAGCUAUUCUACAGCAAUAAAGCAUAUCAAAUUGAGUUGGACAAAAUUUUCUUGACCAAAUGUGUAAGGUCAUGAUGGUUCUAAGAGGAAGAUGAUCACUUGUAAAGGUGAGUCAUAAAUAUGUUGGUUUUCCAGAACUUUUCUCUAAUGUUUUUGUACAACGGCAGGGUGGGGGAUCAAUCCUCCAACCUCGAGGAAGGGAGAUGAUGCCAAUUACCGUUUAAAUAGUCUGUUUUAUAAUUCUAUCCCCUCUCACUCUGAUCCUGUCUCACAAAUUAGCACUUUUAAUUAUUCCUUGUCUUUUGCUAAUCAAUCCAGCUAGGCAGUUGAAAAUUGUGGCCCAUGAUGUGAUUUUUCUGAAAAUUAACAGGUAUUGAAGCAAUGAAAAUCAAGAAUAGAAUCUGUAACUCAUAUACUUGUUCUAUCAGCUGGUAAUGUGGAAAAACCAUCUGGGCCAUCAAUGCCAAUGUCUACUUCCUCAUAUGGUUUGUGCUAAACUAAGACAACAAUUAGUUGACGUCAACAUUUUGGAAAUAGUAUGGUUUUUCAUUCAGUGAACUUAUAUUGAAAAGGAAAACACAGUUAAAGACAUAUACCACCAAUGACAGUACAAUUCAAAGAAAAUAAGUAGCAUGACUUUUCAUUAUCAUGUGCUGAAGCUCAAAAAACUCCACCAGUAUAUUCAAGAUCAAGACAGAAGAACAUGGCUUACUGAUCAGUAUUUGGAAGACAAAACCAUGGGCUGCACAAGCGCUUAUCUCUUCCUAGGCCCCCAUCCAAAGAUUUCUAGCCAUUGGUUUCAUUACCUUUCAGUUUCAUCAUCUAUAUAUACAUUUGAUUUCUUGUACAAACACCAGUCUUCUCAUUCCCUUUCAUUUCUCAAGGAGCAUUGAAAUAUAUUCUUCUUCCUGCUAGGAUUUCCUCCAUCAAUUGAAUUAAAAAAGUCAUGGGACUUCGUAAUAUUCUCCAGCGGUCAUCAGUUCCGAAGGGCUAUUGUGCAGUGUAUGUUGGAGAGAAUCAAAAGAAGCGAUUCGUGAUUCCGAUAACUUACUUGAAUCAGCCAUGUCUACAAGAUUUGCUUAGUCAAACUAGAGAAGAAUUUGAUUAGUAUCAUUCAAUGGGUGGUCUCACAUUUAACUGCAAAGAUAAUAUCUUCACUGAAUUGAUCUCUCAGUUAAACCAACAACUAUGAGAGGAACAACAAAUUUUUUGUAGAGUACAAUUUUGAUCAAGAACAAUAGGCAUAGACAUUCUUUAUGUUUUCUUCCAUGGGAGUAAAAGAAUGUGAUCUCCCUGCAUGAGGAAAUUACUAAUGGAUGACUUUAUGGAAAAUCAAGCGUUUCUUUCUCCAAAAAUAACUUUGGAAAUUACAAAAAAAAUGAGAUUAUUUUGGAGGGUAGAAAGAGUUUUGAGAUUGGUUUAAAAAAAAUAUUUUAAAAAUAAAUAAGUUGAAGAAAAAGUCUAUAUUACCCUUUUAUAAAAAAGGCCCUAAAGAUUAAAUUUAUGCCAUUCUUCUCAUUUUCCUUCUCCUCGUGUUCUCUUCUCGCGUGGCUUUCCCCUUCUCCCUCACUUUCUCUUCUACUAACGCAAAGUGCAGCCCGACUUCAACUCUUCUCCUUUCUCAGUCGCCUUCGCGUCUCCUUCACAGUCGCCGACUCUUCAGCCCUUCGUGGUGGUUAGUUCAUGUGCGGCGUGCAAGAUUCUGCGCCGGAGAUGCGCUGAGAAAUGCGUAUUGGCGUCCUAUUUUCCUCUUUCUCAGCCUCUCAAGUUCCCCAUUGCUCACUGUAUCUUCGGCGCUAGCAACAUCAUUAUACUGCUUUGGUACUUUCUCUUCUACAAUAAACUGCUUUGGUACUUUCUAUUCUACAAUUGCUUCAAGUUCCCCAUUGCUCACUUAGAUUUUACAUUUUUAACUAGUCAAGAUUCUUUUUUUGCAAUUACGCAGAAAUUUUUGUACGUGGUUGUAGCACUUUUUAAAGAUUUAAAGCAUUCAUUGAGCACAAAAAAUAAUGUAUCUAAGGUUCGUGCACUAACUUAACAUGAUCUCAAGGAAAAGGAAAUGGGGUUAAUUAUAUCUAGGUGUGAUAAUGGAGUUAAAAGUUUUUUUUUUUGGAGUUAAAUGGGUUUCAAUUUUGAAUCUCAAGAUGACUACCGACUGCACUGGAGAUGCUGCUUUUGACAUGCUGCAACCGGAGCGUGACCUUCGCUUGAAUUGGGAAGUCGAUCUCGCCCAGAACCUUGAGCGAUAUCUCUUGCAGAUUUGCUCCGGUGAGUUUCAGUCCGACGAAGACGAGAACCACACUGUCAAUUUUGCUGAAGGUGAGGUUUCUUUUACGGUGUUUUGAAUUGUGAAAAAAAUUGAAUAUUUCUGAUUGAGUAAUGCAUUUUGGGUUUUUUUUUUGUCGGGUGUAGCUGCUCUGCUUCUCCAGGGCUCGAUUCAGGUUUACAGUCGGAAGGUUGAAUACCUUUACUCGUUAGUUUUGCGAGCAUUGGAGUUCCUUUCUGAAAGAAGGUCUGAUUAUUUUAUUUAUUUAUUUAUUCUUUAAUAAAUAUUUUCAUAAGCUUUUAUUUGAACAGACAGCAACAUCACUUAGAAGGGAACUCAAUAGAGGCUGAACAAAAUGGUUCUCAUAAAAUUGACGAGGGCGAGAACGAUCUAUAUUGGGUUUCAGAGGAUGUGCCAGGUAGCUUAUCUAUUUUAUGUCAUAGUGAAACUUGUGAAGUAUUUAAGUUAAAUAACAUUUAGAUUUAUGAUUCAAAUUUUGCAGUUGAUCCAAAGAAUACCCUGGACAGUACCAAGGAAGAUGUUUGGUUGAAUCAAACGGUAAAACCUCCUGCAAAUUUAAUCGUUCUUGAAGGUGAUUGCUUGGAUUCAUCUGAUAAUGGAGAACUAGAUUCAUACUUGGUAAUUGGUUGCUAUGAUUAAUUAUUUUUUUUUGUUUCUUUUACCUUUUAUAUCAUUUGACAGUCAAUAAUAAUUUCUUUUAAUUAUGCAGUUGGCCACCGCUAGUAAUAUUUUCCAAGAUUUUAUACUUUUAGAUUCGUCUGAUGUUAAAACAUUCGAAGAUUUUAUGAAUGAGAACAAUAAGUUUGGAAAAAGUCAUAAUAGUGCACGUAGGGGCAGCUCGACCCGCAGGAGUUGUCAGUCUCAAUCAACUAUGCAAAGAUCAUCUUUUGGCAAGACUCAGGUUGGUGAUCAUGCUGCUGCUCAAUCACCACUUGUCAGCGGUAGCUUCGUACAUGAUCCUCUUGGAAAUUCUGAAUCAGACGACUCAAAUGGUUGUGAAGAUGAUGAUGAUUUUUGGAAGCCUUUGAAUCCUCAUGAACCAGGAAAUUUGAAAAUAAAACCAUUUAGAAAAGGUUGUUUGCCCACUUCAAUUUACAUUCAUUUCCUUUCAAUUUUUGUUUAAAAGUAAACUCUUUUUUAAUUAUUAUUUUGAAUGUUCUCUCUCUUCUUGCAUGUCAGUUAAAGCUUUUAAAAAGAACUAUAAGAAAUCUGGUAAGCAUGAGUUUCUAAUAGCUUUGUUUCCAAUGGCGAAACUACAUGGCCCCGUUAGUCAAGAGUUUGCACAGAUUUGGGAAGAGCAGAACCAGGGAUUCGAAGCUCAUAAAGAAUCCAAAUCUGUUUUAUUAUAUGAGAAGGUACAGUUUUGUGUAUGUUUUUACUAAUAAAAUGUUUCUUCCAGUUGACAGACUAACUAUUGUGACUACAGUUGCGAAAUUCACUUAUCAAUGAAGGUCAUAAAAGUUGUGAUUCCCUUUCUGAUAUGGAAGAUGACAAUAUCGAUAAUGGUUUUGAAGACGCAAUGCCUGAUGUCAAUCAUCCAGAUAUUGGUGACCCCAACGAUCAUUUUAUGGAUGAGGCUAUGUGUUUUGGGAAUGAAAAGGUUGAGUAAACUGUGCGACACAUUCUUAUUGUAGGCUAAUUUUUCUUUUGAAUUACUAUUGAUUGUUAAGUCGUGGGUUUUAUGCAGCAUGAUGUUGCGGCUCAUUUUGAUAAUGGUGAAGCAUAUGAACCUGAAUUUCCAGAUUCUCGUUCAAGUCUAGAAGAUCUUUGUCGCUCUCAUCUUGUAAGUGAUAUCUGUGGACUUAUCACUUGACUUUACCUAUUUGCAAUCUGUCUGGCUCUUAAUUUUUUAAGGAAAAUUAUUUUAAAUGUCAUAACUGUUGAAAGUAUUACAAAUGUAACAAAGUUUCAGAAUCUAUCAAUGAUAGACAGCCCAUUUUUUUAAUUAUUUGUUUGUAUUGUUAAUUUUUUUUGCAUACAUUCUCAUUUACUGAUGAAUGGAAAAAUAAUCUGUUCCUAUCAUCCUGAGAAUAUACGGGGCUCUCGGUACUUGUGUUUGAAAAAAUGCAUGGCACAUGAUGAGGUUAUGCAGACUUGUGCACUUAAAUAUCCUUCAAAAUUAAUACAUUAUGUCCAUGAUUUUAGUUGAUAGAUUUGCAGGAGCUUUUGGAAAUUAUAAGAAUAAAACUGCAAAACCUGGAACAUGACAUCCACAGAUGCAAAUCAUGCCUAGUUUUUUGUUCUUUUGUUCUUUUUAUCAUAUUUACAAUGGUAGAUGGUCACCUACAAUUUUUUCUUUAAAGGAUGCCCUCCUUGCAAGCAUUGCUGAGAGUGAGAAGCAGACAGAAAUGGCCACUCGAGUCUCUACAUGGAAACAAAAUAUUGAACACAAUUUGGAAGAUCAAGUAAUUCCAUUUAAUGUUAUUAUACCCCAGUUUCACUUUUGUUGUCUGUAUGGUAUGACCGAUGGUUAUUUAUUUAUUUUUUCUGGGUUUGAGAAGUUUUUUUUUAUUUUUUUUGUGAUAGGACAAACACCCGCCGUUUGAUAUUCAUGAAUACGGUCAAGCAAUUCUUGAAGAAUUAUCUAGUGAUGCUGACAGAGGAGGUCUCGUGCCUUUCUCUAAUGUUGUUGAAAGGCAGGAAAAGUACAAUGUGGCACGAAGUUUUUCCGCUCUACUUCAGUUGGUAAUGUACUGAACUACAUUAUAAAAGUACCGAGAUUGGUGAAAUUUAGGGACUGAAAGCUUGUGAUUUGUAUGCAAAUAAUUUCUUAAAGUUUAUUUUUUAUGGAUGAAAAUUGGAAUUGACAAGUCAUUUUCAGGUGAACAACGGAGAUGUGGAGCUGGAAAAGAAUGGGGUUGAUGGGGAGUCAAUUUGCUAUACUAAUGUUAAUCCAUUCUACAUUAGGCUUGUUCGCCACAAGAAACAGGUUUCAAGAGAAAGGUUUCUGUCCCCAUGUAAAACUAAUACUGUCAAAGAAUCUAGUGUGAGAGACAAGAAAGGACGAAAGUAGGGAGACAAAGAUCUUGAUUUGUUGAACCAGUUGAUUAACAUUCUACUGGACGACAAUCUAAUGUACAGUUGAGUAUUUGUAUAUAUAGUAAAGCAAUUCAACACAGGUUGUUGUGGCGUUGAGCAUCAACCUUUUGUUGGGGACAUAUUUCUGCUUCCCUCGUUUAGAUUACUUUAUUUGAUGUAAUUUUCAAUGGCGGGGCUCGGGAGAAGUAUAUAUUUCCACUUCUGUUUUUAUUCCUACUACUUCACCACUUUAUUAUUCUCUCCCCCAAAAUUAACACUCAUUUCAUCAAUUCAUGAACAAACUUGUUAGGUCCUCUUUCACCACCUUAAGAACAUAUUUUCUCAUCAUACUCACUAACUCCCACUUUUCUUUAUAGACUUGAAAACAAUUAGAUAGAGUAUCCCAUAGUCUUACAAAAAAUUUACUAAUUAUUUGACACACCCUUUAUUUUGUGAACACCAUGUAGUACUUGAAUGUUAUUUUUGUUCCUGGAUUCCAUACUAGAAAAGUUAUCAUUGGCUCACACCAACAAAAUAGUUUAAAUUACUUGGAUGAGCAAAUUUUACUGAAGGAAACCACGAGAUAUGGGUCUAGAAAAACAGUUACCGAUGAUGUUCCUCUAUGCAUAUUGUUCCAUGAACUCAUCAUUGAACUUUUUAAAACUUGCCAUGAUCGCUGGCAUCUCCUCCUCAUCAUUGAACUCUUUCUUUGUUUUGUUUGCAUUUUUCUUUCUAGGUUUUGUUUGUUUGGUCAUAUAUUGUACUUAUCUGCUUUAGAUUCAAUCCAAGCUUUGAUAUGAUUGAUGCAUGGAACUUAUCCAUUUUGAGUAUUUCUAUUAUACCUUGUUUUGUUUCUGGUUGAUCCUUAGUCUUUGCUUGAGUGAGAUUCUUUAAAGAAAAAUACAACGUUUAUAUAUGUUUAUGAAUCAUUCAAGGUGUUACUAUAUAUGUUUAGGAGCGUAAGUAGUUCAGUUUAGUAUGUUUUAUCUCGCACGUAUCUCACACCAUCUCACACAUUUCAAACAUUCAUUAUGAGUUUCAAAAUCACAUUGUUAUUCCUUCCAAGUCAUUUAGAGUGAUUAUGUGCAUGUUUCCUAAGUUUAUUAGGUCAUUAUGUUAUAUCUUGCAAUAUCAUAUUUCAAACUUUCACUCUAAGUUUCAAAAUAAAAUUCCUACCCCUUCCAAGCCAUUUAGAGUUAUUCUAUGCAUGUUUUGUAAGAUUAUUAGGCCAUUAUGUUAUAUCUUGCAGCAUCUCGCAUCUAUCUUGUACGUUUCAAACUUUGACUACUAGUUUCAAAAUCAAAUUGCUACCUCUCUUAAGCCAUUUAGAGUGAUUUUAUGUAUGUAUAGUAAGUUUAUUAGGCCUUCUAUGCAUGUUUAAUAAGUUUAUGAUGCAAUUAUAUUUCAUUUGUUCCUUUUUGUGGUCUGGAAUGGUGUUGCCCAUUGGUAAAUAUAUCAAUUGCUGUCCUUAGGUCACUUUAUAGCAAAAUGCAAACAAACAUGAGCAUGAAGGGAAACUAUCAACAAGAUCAAAAUCAGUGCAUAAGCUUUCUAAAAAUUAUGGUUCUAAAACUGCUACGAAAGAAGCGUCUAAUGAGUCUGCAACAAAUGAUGAAAAGUGCCAUACAGAUUGUGAUGCUCGUGAAAACCAUCAAAUGAAGGUAACAUCUUGCAACCUAAUUGAAAAUUUUAACUCCAAAUCCAUUUUUGUUUCUUUGCAAUAUAGUAAUAGUUUAUUAACCAAUGCAUCUGUCACUACACUGUACAGCUAAAUUCACUUUUACAAAUCUACGUGGUUGUUUAACAGUGUUAGUUACGUCUAUAGAUAGAGUGAUGUCAGAUGAUAUAUAAUUAAAUUCGCCUUCACUCGCUAGCUUAAACUUAUUAUCACUUUCAAGCCAUUUAGAAAGUUAAAUUUUAAAUUUUAUUCUCACUAAAUAACAUAAUGUUUCAUCUCAAAACUAAUUGACAACGAAAAAACUAGCCCACAUACAUCUUCUAUCAUGAGAUCCCUUGAUUUCCCUCAAAUCCUUCCCAUUCCUUUGCCACAAUCAAAAAUUUUCUAAACCAAUUAAGGGAAUCAAGACGAUAUAUACUGGGGAUUUGGUGGGCACAUAAAAGUUGAAACAAGACAACAAAUAUUUGAAGACUAACAAUUGGGAGAUGAUUGUUUCUCUUUUCCUCAUUCAGUGAAUUCACAUUAAAAAGACAAAUAUAGUUCAAGACGUAUACCACCAAUUAUAGUAUCAUCCACAAAAGUUGAGGUAUCAGUUUCUCUUUAACAUGUUCUAAGGUACAAAAACUGAUAUGCCAAUCUAUUUCUCAGGUGAACAAUGGGGUUAGUGCUUCCAUUUUUCUUUGAAAAAGACAGGACAAUAUAACAUUAUUUACCACAAUCAUUCCCUUAACUGAUAAGUAUUUGGAAGACAAAACCAUGUGCACAAGCAUUCAUCUUUUGCUAGGCCCCAUUCAAAGAUUUCUAGCCAUUGGUUUCACAGCCCUUUUAACGUUAACCCUCUAUAUAUAUACAUAUACAUAUUAGUUGUUCACAAACAACACAAAAAUCUUCUCAUUCCAUUCACUUUUUUUAAUCAAUGGGACUUCGUCGUCUUCUAAGACGGUCUUCCAUGAACGGAAACCAGAGAGUUUCAAUGGUUCCUAAGGGCUAUUGUGCAGUCUAUGUUGGUGAGAAUCAAAAGAAACGGUUCGUGAUUCCGAUUACUUACUUGAAUCAACCAUGUUUUCAAGACUUGCUCAAUCAAACUACUGAAGAAUUUGAAUAUUAUCAUCCAAUGGGCGGUCUUACAUUCCACUGUAGCGAUGAUAUCUUUGCUGAUUUGAUCUCUCACUUGAAUGAACAACUAUGAGUGAUAAUACCAACAUAUUUAUGGAGUACAGUUUUGAUCUUGGAAAAUAGGCAUGAGAUAUUUCAUUGUAAAUUCCAUUAAUCUUUGAAAUCUUUUUUUCUUUUUUAUGGGAGUGAAAAAGAACUGAUCUCCCUGCCUUAGGAAAUUGCUAACGGAUAUAACUUUAUGGAAAAUGAAGAGCUUCUUUCUUGAGUUACUAAAAUCUUCAUUACUCAGCUGAUUUUAUGUAUGGUUGUAGUUUUAAUGAGCAAACUCGAAGUCAGUUUAGAAUGACCGUUUUAAGCACUUUGAAAUAUCCCAAACUAGCUUUAGCAUAUCUAUGGUUUUCUUAUGGAAAUCUAAUGCUAUUUCAUAUCUGAUAAAAAUUAGUGAAUACGACUCUCUUAUACCUGAUAUUAAGAAUGAAACUGUAACAAGAAAAUGAAUUAGUUCAAAGAUCUCGAAAACUCACCAUCCAUCAAAGAAUUGAAUGGAGUUCUUUGACACCCCAACCAUAAUCUUCUUUAUUACUCAAAAAGUUGGAGUUGUAAACUCCAUCCAAGGAGUUGAUGAGCCUCACGACUAUAGAACAUAAAGUUUAAACGUUAUUAACUCUUUAUAGAUCCACAACUUCACUACUCUCUCGAUUUCAUUAUUUCACUCAUUUUCCCAAACAUCCUCUAACUUUGUAAUUGUUGAAACAAAAGUUGCUUCAAAUGAACAAGAAAGCGGAAUGGCAAAUCCCUUUUGCUGUCACUCUCCAAUAUAAACUGUUAAGUAAUCCUUUUUACUUUUUAGUGAAAGCUUAUAUGCCUUUUUAGUGAAUUAUUGAGUUUGCAAAUGCUGAAAUGUAUGCUAACGACAUGAUCGGUUAUUCCUCACAAAACUUCCUGAUAGAAAAAUAUGAUUUGCUGAAACAUUAUGUGCCAUUGAUUAUCAACUUUUUUCCCUUUUUGCAUUUCAUUGAGCAAAUAAAUAAGAAGUACCAUAAGUCUUCAGCUUUCCCUAUGCUACAUUCAAAAUGAACUACGCAGAAAAUGGUUUUGCCUUCACAUAGCUGCUGCAGGUAAAUACAAUAUUUUAGUGAUGGUAGUUGAUUGAAAUAUUUCAAUAAUUCAAUUCUUUGAAAGAAAAAGUCACUUAUGAGAAUUGAAUUGCUACAAGAAACCUCUUCUCAGCGAGAUGAAUGGAUCAAAUUCACAAAAACUAAUUUCAUUGAUGUAUUAAUCUUUGAAAAAUGUAAUAUAUAAAUAUAUCUUAUUAGUUUUUGAAUCAAAAUUUAAUUUUGUAGCAACAUUUAACAUUUUCACUCACGUCUGGGUUUACAAAUUUUCACGAAAUCCAAUAAGUAAUUAUCAAUAGAAAAUGAGGAAAUGCUUUGAAGACUAGACUUCUUGCUUUUGUACCAUAAUAAAAUUUCUCUAACAUUACUCGUGGCGCAUGGACAACUUAUGUACCAAAUUCAACUUAAUCUUUCUAAUACUUGUGAAGAAUGGUCCAUAGCCAUUGGAUCUACGUGUGCGGCGUUACUAGCAAGUCAAGCUCGAGACUAAUUUACCUUAGCUUCUAAGGAUAUAGAUCUCCAAUCUUUGCCUCUCAGCACAACUAUGAGCAUGACCAUUGGCUUUCUGAUAUAGUUUCUUUAACCAAAAUAUUUACAAAGGAAGAAGCACAAGAAGUAGAAAACAAGGAAUACAAUAAAAUACAGGAAUAUAUAUAUAUAUAAUACAUGUAUACCGAAAGGAUCGUCAACUAGAACAUGUCCUUAGGCUGGACGGAUAUAAAAAGCUAUCUCUGUUUGCCAUUCAUCUUUACAUGCUGUAUGGGUUUGCUUUUACUAUGCAAGCCAAUUAUACAUUGGAUGCUACUUCUUCCUUCAAGAAAGAAAGUUUUCUUUUAAAGAAAUCAUAACAUUCACUUUAAAGUAUGAGCUACCACUUUAUUGCGCAUAGCUGGUUCUCACACGAAUGACACUGGCGAUUUAAAACAGUAGAUACACGAGAUUGAGCGUAAACUGAAGGCGUAGAUUUCAUGUCAUGUAAAAAACCUAUUUGCUUUUUCAUAUUUGGAGACACUCAUACCUCUUGUUCCCCGACUGAUAAAAUGCUGAAAGAUGCUGCAGAAGUAAAGGAAAAGGACAGGAUUGCAGUUUUGAGGUUUGAACAUAACAUGAGUUUUAUAAUACAUGAACAUUAAUGGAAUUUUCAUGUCAUUUUUAUCUCUUUUUGGUAAGAACCCGAGCUUUAGUUGAGAAACGAAUGAAAGGUUGACAACAACAUACAGAAAAACAAGCCUAACAAAAGAAGAAAGCAAGAACUAACUACAGAAAAAGACGUACUCCAAUCCUACAAAAUCAAACCAAGAUCAUAAUUAUGAAAGAAAAAAGAAUUUUCAUUCACAUCCAAAUGUGUCCUCCAUUAGCAACAAUUCUUCUUUCCAAGUUCCCAUAAAGCUCAUAGGCCAAAGUUUUGGAAGAUAGUAGACUAUUAUAUUCACUUAGAAGCUAUUUUAUGUCACUUCUGUUCGUAGAUAUGAUAUUAUGGUAAUGACUUUUUACUUUUAUAUAGAUCGUAAACAAAGAAAUAUGUCCAAUGACAUAAGAAAUAUACAUUAAGAUAAGGUACUUCUACAUCCAAUUUCAUAGCUUUGUCAAUUCAAAAAAUGGCAAUCAAGUCAGGUGGUGUUAGCAAGAAUCUAAGGAGAUGGCCGCCGGUCGACCUUUAAUCAAGGCCAAAAAUAGUGUUUUCAAUCUAACUGUCUCUAGCCAAAUGGCUGAAGAAAAUCUCUUCUGUACAAGAGAAAGUAAGGCCACCCAUUGGAUGAUCAUAUCCAAACUCCUCUUCAGCUUGACUCAACAAGUUAUGGAAUGAAGGAUUGCCCAAAUAUGCAACAGGGACCAAAAAUCUCUUCUUUUCAGUCUCUCCAACAUAGACAGCCAAGUGGCCUUUCGGCACGGCUGCAGUUCUCGACAACUGACGAAUACGCCAUGGGAAGUGCUUUGGAAUUGCAAUUCUUGGCAAAGGGAUGCCCAUUUUUGGUAAUAGGUGGUGGUAAAUGAAUCUCAAGAGAAUUGGAAAUGGUAGCUGCUGUGAUGGGAAUUGGUGUUCUUUGAAUUGUGUGUAUAUAUAAAGAAAACAAAUCGGCAAAUUGCCUUUUUGUAGUGAAAGAACAACCACAAUGGAUUGAGUUUUGGGCCAUAAUCUAUAAAGGUCACAUGGCUUUGUCCCCCAACAAAAAGCCAUGGUGAACUUCAUUUCCUAUUGUUAAUUUCUUUUUAUAACAAACCAUGAGGACCUACAAUUCUCAGUCAAACAAAUUAUUUUUUGGCCAUCAUCACAUUCAUACAUUGUGGAUCAUUUGAAAAGAAGAAAAGACGAGAAUCAUUUCAAGAGACCAAUAAGCAAAAUCAUAUGGCAGAUAAUCUUUUUAAAAACGUAAAUCAAAACGAUUGAUUUGUCGAUGUUCUUGACCAUAUACACGUGAAUUCUACAAGGUCUUGCAACCUUUGGUCUUUGGAAGCUAGCCAACAAAUACAUUAUCAUAAAAUGUCAUAAUAUUUAAACAAAAACCAUUGGCUACAUGAAGAUUACAGGAAUUUGGUCCUGAAUUUGAAGGGGUCAUAGAUCAAGUAGUUGAAAUAAAAUAGACCAAACAGUUUAUUUCUAUUUUCUUUUAAGUGAACUUUAGGAAUACAUGGGCAUCUACAAAUUAGGGCGGUAUAAAGAAAAAAGGACUCCAAUCAAGAAGAAUAAGACCUAGUAAGUAAUUACAAAAUGACUGUCAUUGAUGCCUAAACAGAAACACAGAAUCUAACAAGAGACCAAACGUCAGAAGGAUCUCUCUCAAUACCUCUAAUGCCCCCAAAGACUCCAAAAAACACAAACGUGGCGUGCACAAGGACCUUCCCUUCUCAUGAAACAGAGGAGGAAGAAGGAACUCCUUAGUCAUCUCCAUGCAGACUAACUGGAAACCAAGCACAUAACAAACAAUAAUUCCAAGCAGAUCAAGCAAUAUUCUUAUGUAUUUGUACCAAUAUCAAAUGAGUGUUAAAUUUAUCACAAAACAUUGAUUAAUCAUGGAUGAUACUUUUUGAUGAAAAGCAUUAUCUUAAUUAUUGAUGAUAUAAAGACGCAAAAGCAUUAUCUUAAUUAUCCAAAGUUAAUUUCACUUCAUUUCUUUUUGUGUGUAGCUUGAAAUGACUAUGCUUUAUGUCUUUCCUAUAAAUCCCAACUUUUUAGAAAAUAAAGUGAUAUGGGAAACUUUAAUAAUAACUUUUAUGUCAUGGACUCAUGCUUGUGGAGCCUAAUCAUAAAUAAUCUAGAAAAGAAAUCACAUAGAGCUCUAAAUAAGAGACCAAUUGUUGAGGAUAGAAUUAUAGUUAUAGAAAGUUUGGUGUUGUUUCAAAAUGUUAGAGCCCUAACAUUAAUUCAUUGUUGAAUAAAUCUUUCAAAAUUUAUGAAGUCCAACAAAAAUGAAUUAAUAGUUUAUUUAUUUUAACUUCUAUCAGCAUAAAUUCUAAAAUUUUGUAAAUAUAUUAGUUUAUUUGGUAUGUUUAAAAGCAUUCCUAAAAUUUAAUUGAAACAAAA